rnacentral:rRNA from 1 species
GAUGAACGCUAGCUACAGGCUUAACACAUGCAAGUCGGAGGGGCAGCAUUUUUAGUUUUGCUUUGCAAAACUAAAGAUGGCGACCGGCGCACGGGUGAGUAACACGUAUCCAACCUGCCGAUAACUCGGGGAUAGCCUUUCGAAAGAAAGAUUAAUAUCCGAUAGCAUAUUAGAACCGCAUGGUUUUACUAUUAAAGAAUUUCGGUUAUCGAUGGGGAUGCGUUCCAUUAGUUUGUU